AGCGAACGCUGGCGGCAGGCCUAACACAUGCAAGUCGAACGAAGUCUUCGGACUUAGUGGCGGACGGGUGAGUAACACGUGGGAACGUGCCUUUAGGUUCGGAAUAACUCAGGGAAACUUGUGCUAAUACCGAAUGUGCCCUUCGGGGGAAAGAUUUAUCGCCUUUAGAGCGGCCCGCGUCUGAUUAGCUAGUUGGUGAGGUAAAGGCUCACCAAGGCGACGAUCAGUAGCUGGUCUGAGAGGAUGAUCAGCCACAUUGGGACUGAGACACGGCCCAAACUCCUACGGGAGGCAGCAGUGGGGAAUCUCGCGCAAUGGGCGAAAGCCUGACGCAGCCAUGCCGCGUGAAUGAUGAAGGUCUUAGGAUUGUAAAAUUCUUUCACCGGGGGCGAUAAUGACGGUACCCGGAGAAGAAGCCCCGGCUAACUUCGUGCCAGCCGCCGCCGUAACAC
rnacentral:rRNA from 1 species